CAUUCGAGACACUCACACAUUUAACCAGCUCCCUCUUAAGCUCUUGGAAUAAGUUUCCGAUGGUGUCGAUGGGUGUUUUGAAGUUCUUUUUGUCCGCAUGGCUGCUGAUUGCACUGGGCAACACGGUCUCCAAGUAGAAAUGCAGUAUGUCGUUCAUGACACUGCAUCCGUAAAGGUUCUGCAAGCGAAACAACACGUUUUUAGUUUUCACCCUGCUCUGUUUUUGUGUCUUUCCCUGUCUUUGUCUGCACUUGUUGCGCGCCUGAGUUUCGAUAUGAUGCAUGUAGUAUUUUUACGCAUAGAAUAAAAAAAAUAUCACUCUAUUAACCAAGCAUCAGUGCUGACUGUGUGGAUGAGUGUCUGAUACUCACAUUAAAAUGAUUAAGGACUGUCCUGUUGAAUAGUGCGGUGUCCAGGUCAUCCUUGGAUUCCUAAACAGACAGCAGAAGAACAAUUUAAUUCAGAAAUCAUUGCCAUACUCUGGAUCCACCUGAUUGAAAGGCUCUUAAGAUUGAAGCUGAUUCAUUAAUCUCUCCUUGCCUACACUGAUGGAGACUACAUAAGGCAACAAAAACUGUUAAAGGUUUGCUGAAAGCUACUCACGUAGUAGUCUCGGAUGACGGCGUAUGAAGAACGAAGUGCUUUCAAUCUGACUGGAAAUCCCUCAAUGAAGGAGCAGCAACUGUUUUGGCAGACAGUCUUUUUGCAUUGAGCAGCCCUGAGCAGCUGAGCUGUCAGCAAAGAAAGCAGGAGGAACCUACAGAAGAGCAUUCUCAAAGAUCUCGUCACACCGGUGUUAGCCCUUUCGUAAGCUUGUAGCUGAAUCCUCGGGGGGAGGAGAAGUGAAGAAUAGCUCAGAUGUGCCCUGUUUUAUAGGCCAAAAUACUUCCCAUUUGGAGGUGGGAGGAACCUGGAGAAUGUGGAGGAAACCCCGACUUGGACGACAUGCACAAAAAUAGCACACAGACUCGAAUCAUGGAUCCUGGAGAUUUGGCUUGAUUCCUAUGAGAAAAACCGGGUCACGGGGGCAGCAGUCUAAGCAGGGACGCCCAGACUUCCCUCUCCCCAGACAC